GACGAACGCUGGCGGCGUGCUUAACACAUGCAAGUCGAACGGUCCUGUUUUUGAAGCGCUUCGGCGUGGAGGGGACGGGGCAGUGGCGCACGGGUGAGUAAUGCGCGAGGACCUGCCCGCAGGAGGGGGACAGCAGUUGGAAACGGCUGGUGAUACCCCGUAGGCCGGGAGGUGAAAGGGCGGAGACGCCCGCCUGCGGAUGGACUCGCGUCCUAUCAGCUAGUUGGUGAGGCAACGGCUCACCAAGGCGACGACGGGUAGCCGGCCUGAGAGGGUGUCCGGCCACACUGGAACUGAGACACGGUCCAGACUCCUACGGGAGGCAGCAGUGGGGAAUUUUGGGCAAUGGGGGAGACCCUGACCCAGCGACGCCGCGUGAGGGACGAAGGCCCUUGGGUCGUAAACCUCUUUCAGUAGGGACGAAGCGAAAGUGACGGUACCUACAGAAGAAGGACCGGCCAACUACGUG
rnacentral:rRNA from 1 species